UAUUAGCAAAGAACCAAUCCCGAGUGACGGCUAUGACGCGAUGCGCUGCGGGCCAAUCACCGCUUUACCCCGCCCCCGCGCCUCACUUCAUACCACAAAAGGGACCCAAUAAAUUACUUCUGCGCAGGUGAAGGUCAGAGCUCAAGAUUAGUGCCGAUAACUAGAACUGCCGAAAAACCAUCGAUCCUCGCCUAAAAAACCGUAACUUUUGCAGCAAAUACCGUCUUUUUCGCAUCCAAAAAAACGUUUCUGCUCUGGAAAACCGUAUUUUACCGAAGUUUCUGCAAAAACCGUCAUUUUACCUUAAAAAAACCGCGCUUUUACCGUGAGAAACCGCGCACAAACCUUACCAAGUGCUCUCAUGUUAAUAGCUAUAGAACUAAUAGUUAUAGUCGUCGCCGUUCGUAUCUUCCGGGUUGUAUUUAUUUUCGUCCUCGUUCGGUUCCUGCUUGAUCUGCACGUCCAAGGGCGCCAUACUGAAUUCUGGAUAAUCUGCGAAAAUAUAUGGAAAUGUUAGAUUUUUC